UCAAUGAAUAUUAAUGGAUUUUUAAACCAUGGAGCAGAAACAAACUGUCUGACGUUUUCGGAGUCUAUGAAAUGUCCAAAACAGUGUCACUAUACCGAUCCCAAAGAUGGAUGUAAUAAAUGUACAUGCGACUCAAACGGAAAUCAAAUAACAAAACCUACUACAACAACACCGACGACAACUACAACAACACCGACUACUACAACAAUACCGACGACUACCACAACACCGACAACUACCACAACAACACCGACAACUACCACAACACCGACAACUACCACAACAACACCGACAACUACCACAACACCGACAACCACAACAACUCCGACUACCACAACUACACCGACAACUACCACAAUACCGACAACCACAACAACACCGACUACCACAACAACACCGACUACCACAACAACACCGUCUACAACUACGACAAUACCCACUACCACAACACCGACAACAACAACAACACCGACAACAACAACAAACCCCAACAACGACUACUACACCGACUACCACAACAACACCGACUACAACUACAACACCGACAACGACUACAACAACACCUACUACAACAACAACGCCGACAACUACAACAACUCCGACUACCACAACAACACCGACGACUACCACAACACCGACAACCACAACACCGACAACAGCAACACCAAAAACAACAACAACCCCAACAACGACUACUACACCGACUACCACAACAACACCCACUACUACUACAACACCGACAACGACUACAACAACACCUACUACAACAACAACGCCGACAACUACAACAACUCCGACGACUACCACAACACCGACAACCACAACAUCACCGACUACAACAACACCUACUACCACAACAACACCGUCUACAACUACGACAAUACCCACUACCACAACACCGACAACAACAACAACCCCAACAACGACUACUACACCGACUACCACAACAACACCGUCAACAACUACAACAACACCCACUACUACUACAACACCGACAACGACUACAACAACGCCGACUACCACAACACCGACUACCACAACAACAUCGACUACCACAACAACACCGACAACCACAACAACACAGACAACCACAACACAGACUACCACAACUACACCGACAACCACAACAACACCGACAACAACUACAACAACACCCACUACUACUACAACACCGACAACGACUACAACAACGCCGACUACCACAACACCGACUACCACAACAACACCUACUACCACAACUACACCGACAACCACAACAACACCGACUACAAGUACAACACCGACUACCACAACAACACCCACUUCUACAACAACACCGACCACUACUACAACACCGACGACGACUACCACGAACGCUAAAACAACAGUGACUACAAAGAAGCCAUCUACAAUAACGAAGCCUACUCCCAAGAUUACUCUCCCUCCGUCUUUAGCGUCAACUCAAAAAAUAACCCUACCUCCGUCACAGUCCACUAAAUCAGCAACAUCGCCAACGACAACAACGCCAUCAACAACAACUGGUUGUCCUGGGUUCCCACCAAGCUGUCCUGGACCGUGUGGUAGCUUUGACCCCGUGACCUUUUGUAUGAUUUGUGAUUACAGCAUUUGUGGCAUUAGUGACGCCACCUCCCGCCAGCGGGAACAGGAUGAGUAAAACCCGAGUCUCUCCUUGACUUUUCAUCCUUCUAAGAUGAGGUGAAACUUCACUUGGGUCUCUUUUUGUGUUUUGUUACUUUUGUUGGUUUUUGUUGUUCUUGGGAAAUAAAAUCUGAAAAA
rnacentral:sRNA from 1 species